rnacentral:rRNA from 1 species
AUACGGAGGAUCCGAGCGUUAUCCGGAUUUAUUGGGUUUAAAGGGUGCGCAGGCGGCCAUUUAAGUCAGCGGUUAAAUCGUGGGGCUCAACCCCAUUCUGCCGUUGAUACUGGGUGGCUUGAUUGCGGUCGAGGUUGGCGGAAUUCGUUGUGUAGCGGUGAAAUGCAUAGAUAUGACGAAGAACACCGAUUGCGUAGGCAGCUGACCAGACCGCAAAUGACGCUCAUGCACGGAAGUGCGGGGAUCGAACAGGAUUAGAUACCCUGGUAGUCCGCACAGUAAACGAUGAAUACUUGUUUUCGGCGAUAUAAUGUCGGAGGCAAAGCGAAAGCGAUAAGUAUUCCACCUGGGGAGUACGCCGGCAACGGUGAAACUCAAAUGAAUUGACGGGG